GUUGCUUGGUGUUCUAGGUCGCCAUGUUGGGCGGAGCGCUUCUGCUCACGCCCGGCCGUCGCCAUCUUGAGCUGGGGUGUCGUCACAGCCAUUUCUCAUCAGGACCUCUGUUCUGAAGUGCUUGGUGCCAGACCUCUGCCACAUCCCCAGGCUAAAACUUGCUUGUGCUUUGAAGAGAAGUGGUCUUUUUAAGGUCAAUAGCCUUGGGCCAGAAAUGAAUUCUCAAGCAGAGGCCUCAGCAGGUGAUGAGAAAGGCAUGAGAACAGGCUGGAAGGAGAAUGAGGCACCGAGAGGCCCAAGCUGAAAGAAAUAAAGACUUCCAGUACAUCACCCUGACAGUAAAGAGCGAAGGAAAAGUGACGUCUGAGAACUGCAAUGUGCUCUGCUUGAAGAAAAGGAAGUUGGGUUGUGAUAAUAUAAUUCUGGAUUCCAUGGAAUGUUGUGGCUCAUGGAAGAGGCAAGAGAUAAAAGACAGAGAAACAAUAUAGUG
rnacentral:lncRNA from 1 species